rnacentral:lncRNA from 1 species
AAGAUGAAUCUUGUGAUGUCUUAUGUUAUUUAGUUAGAAUUUAAUGAAUUGUGGUGGUGGAAACCGAAAAUGGUAAUGUUUAGCAUGAAAAACCGUAUACCCCUCAAGAACCUCCAUGGCCUAAUUUUUUCAAGAGAAAAUGUGAGGAUGAUUUUACCAUAUUUCAAGUUAUUUAAUUUGUGUUUGAUGAUUUGGAGUAUUGGCAGAGAAAUGAAAUUAUUUGGAGUUGAAUUGGACGUAUUGGCCAAUUAAUCGGGUGACAGAUCGAAUUAGGCCAAUACCGUUUUAUUUAGGUACACAAUUGAACUUAUAUUGAACGCCGUAUUUAGAUGGUUACCCAACCAUUUCACAUCCCAUUUCAUGCAUUAGUAUAGAGCCUGAAUUAGUUCUAUAACAGUUUAGCACAAAUGUAGUAAAUGGCUUAUUAUGCAUUAUGUCUAGGUGGUGAGCUUUCUGGCAAAAGUAAAGAAAUAAUACCCGAUGAUCAAGAAUCGGAGUACUCGGAACUCGAUUUCCAUUACAGUGAGUAACCUUAUUAUCGUUUUAAUUAUCUAAAGUAUGUUUUUAUCUGAUUUUGUAAUUCUAUGGAAAAUGUGUUUAAAUGAAAUGAUUUUAUAAAUUAUUUUGAAAUUUAAUGAUGACUUGAAAAUGGAGUAAUUGGAGACUACUUGCUGUAUUGUAAAUUAUGUUUUGAAUUGAAUGGCUUAUGAUAAUGUGGGCAUGAAUGGCUGGAUGGGUAUUUGUGUUGAAAAUGCAUAAAUUGUUGUUUGCCUUGAUAGGUUGGAUAAUGAUAAAAUUGCCAUGACAUGCUGUUGAAUUUUAUUGAAUUGGUGGGUUAUAAAUUGGUCACUGCAGUGGCGGGUUUUGUGGACCAGCCUAUUAGAGGGGCACAGAAUCCGGUUAUAUUCUUACCUCGGUCGGAGAGGCACGUAUGGUAUCUCCUGGGGUAUGGUUAGAGUUCACAUCACGUCGAACCACCACAUAAGGAUGAACUCCGCUAACGCCAAGGAACGACUAUGUUUUCUAAUGUGAAAAUAUGUUUACGUGUAUAUGAAAUUUUUGACAGCCUUGGCGGACUUGGUUGGAUACCUCUGAUCAAGGUGUCACCGAGUAUGAGUUUUUGGCAUGAGCCAAGUUUUAAGAAAUUCAUAAGCCAUGUUGAUUUCUCGAUUUAUAUGAAUUGAUUUUAUUUUGUUGAAAUGAGUUGAAAGGUGAUGAAUUACAAUAUGAUGAUCUAUUUUAAUCACCUCCAUUUACUCAGCUUUAGAUAUUUUAGAUGAUAUUUGUUUACUCACUGGGAUUAUAUAAUCUCAUCACCCUCCUUUCCACCCAUUUCAGGUUCAGGAUAAUUUGUAGAUAGCUGAUAUCGUCGAAGGCUACAGUUGGCUUUAUUUUAUAAAAAAAAAAAUCAUAGGUUCACAGUCUUCGUUCACUUUUAUCAUUUGGGGGCCCACAUGUCAUUGUAAAUUAAAUUACAUACCUUGACUAUAUGUAUUACAGUAUGUAUGAAUUUAUUUCGCUUUUACGCUAUAAAAAUUUCUUACAGAUAACUCUAUAAAAAUUGUUUUAUAAGAAAAUAGAAUAUUUUAUUGAAUAUUUUUA